AUUGAACGCUGGCGGCAUGCUUUACACAUGCAAGUCGAACGGUAACAGGCCGCAAGGUGCUGACGAGUGGCGAACGGGUGAGUAAUACAUCGGAACGUGCCCAGUCGUGGGGGAUAACUACUCGAAAGAGUAGCUAAUACCGCAUACGAUCUAUGGAUGAAAGCGGGGGACCGUAAGGCCUCGCGCGAUUGGAGCGGCCGAUGUCAGAUUAGGUAGUUGGUGGGGUAAAGGCUCACCAAGCCAACGAUCUGUAGCUGGUCUGAGAGGACGACCAGCCACACUGGGACUGAGACACGGCCCAGACUCCUACGGGAGGCAGCAGUGGGGAAUUUUGGACAAUGGGCGCAAGCCUGAUCCAGCAAUGCCGCGUGCAGGAAGAAGGCCUUCGGGUUGUAAACUGCUUUUGUACGGAACGAAACGGCUCUGGUUAAUACCCGGGGCUAAUGACGGUACCGUAAGAAUAAGCACCGGCUAACUACGUG
rnacentral:rRNA from 1 species